AUGGGAUGUCCCAUCCAGUUGGUGAUUGAGGCUUCUACAACUGGACAGAAACAGCCCCAGCUGGAAGGGACUGGUUUUACUUGGCAUUUGCUUUAGCUGGACUCUCGGUGUGGUGGUUCUCCAGGUCUCCUGCAGCUCUGCCAGCAUCUCCUCCAGGAUCUGCCGGGUCUCCUGGUACCUGUGCUGUGCCUCGGUCCACGCUGCCAGCUUUCGGCUGCUCUGCAUCCUGCACACCUGAGCCUUCAUCUCCUGAAGCUUCUCCAGGGCGAACUCCACUGACAGCUUCUGGAAGGAGCUCUGCAGACACUGCAGCGCCUGGCCCUCCCCACGCUUCACCUGGGCUGAGCACUGCCUGCAGUCCAGCUUCAGCCCCAUGAUCUAGAAAAGGCAAGAGCAGUUGUUUUCAUGGCUGCCCAGCCGGCACUGGGUUCUGCAGGAGGAGAGCCUGUGCACCCACCUUGCUGGAGAACUGGCCGAGCUCCCGCAGCAGCUCCCGCUCAGCCUGCCGCCGCUCCACCUGCCUGUAGAAGCUCAUCAGCUUCGUCCGGAAAAGGGCUGCAGCCACCUGGAAGGGAUCUGCCUCGGGGAAAGCCGCGUCUCGGACCUCAGCCGCCUCCUGACACAGGGCCAGGCCGUGCCGGUACUGAGCCUGCAGGGAUGGCAGGAAGGACACAAGCUCCGUGCUCGGGGAACAGCGCUGACAUGCUGUGCUGGGACACGUGUGCAGGGUGAGGCUCUCUGCAGGUCAGCACUCAGCAUCGCUAUCAAAGCUAUAUGGGAAGUGUUUCUGGGCAAGUGUGAAGAAACGAAGAGAAUGGGAAUUCUCCAAAUCUCUGCCCUGUCCUGGUUUGGCUCAAAAUGCACAAAACACAUUGUCCUGUCCUGAGUGCAGUCACCUUGCUUCAUCCUCCCUGUGAUGCACGUAAUUAAAGGGCCUCCAUAUCUAGGGGCAUGGGAGGAACGAAGCCUUGUCACCACAUUGAUGUCUGAUGGAUGUCCAGGCUCUGCAGCCCGGUCCUGUGGGAGGAAGGGGGCUGCGAAGGACAGAGCGCAGGAGGGGUUAGGAACGGCACCCCAGCCCAAAGCACACCAAGGAGCAGCACAACCACCCCCUCACGGGAGCAAGGCUGCCCAAAGACCCCAGCAAAGCUGGGCUUGAAAACUGGAGCUUGACCCAGCCAGCCUGGGGACACCCAGUUUUGCCCAGAAGCCUCGUUCCAAACCUGGGGGAUCUGGGCUGAUUGUAUCGAGCUUUGUGAUGACAUUUGAACAUUUCUAAUUCGGCAUUUUCAGUUUCUGCCAAGCGCCAGGCAGGGGCUGAAGCCACCUAACAGCACUGCUGGCAGCGAUACCCUAGGGAUGAACGUUACAGAAAAGCCCCCUCCAAACAUACUGUUGCCUGGACGAGGAACUCAUUAAACCGCUCGGCGGAGCCCUGGAAGGUGUCGGGGCUCCACUCCUCAGCACCCAUCUCCUGCAGCCGUGCCGCUGCCUCCCCGUCCAGCCAGCACCCCAGCUGCAAGAGACAACAGGGCAGAGGGUCAGGCGGGACCAGUCACCGGCAGCAGCGCUUCCGCGGCACCUCCCUUUCCUUCCCCGACCCAGGCAUCCCAUCCCAGGCGUGGUUAAUGCACAGUCGCCUCGUAAUUAAAAUCAAAGCUCAGGCAAUCCUGUUAUUCUCUGUGCUUCCUUCAUCAUCAAAUCCAAGGAAAUGUCCCUCAAAUGCUCAGCUGUGGGGACACCGCAGAGGACAACUUGCUGCACCCCAGGGACACCCAACUCACCUUGCUGAACUCGGCCUCGAGCUCCCGGACCUUUCGGAGGAACUCCAGGUGCUCCAGGCAGCUGUUGGACUGGGACACCAGGUCGUGAAGCUCCUCCUCCAGCUGGCUGUACAGCCCCUCGGCCGACUCCAUGCUGGUCCUGGUGGUUGGGGAGGAGACGGGCCGUCAGCCCCAGGAGCUGCCGGGUGAGCUGCUGGCUCCGCCUGAAGACGCCAGCCAAGGCAGCUCUCCCGCAGCAGGAGCCUCUGGAUGGGGCAGCUCCCCGUAAGCAGGCGCUGGUGUGCAGCCACAUGGGCAACUGGUAGCCAAGCGAGCGGACGGGUAGCAACUCGGCACGUGCGGCUGGCGAGAGCCUGGCAGAUGCCUGGGUCAGGAGCCGACCAUGAGAUCUCCUCCCCACCCGCCUCGUGUAUCCUCAGAGCCCACCUGGGACGCGCCGGCACUCACACGAGGGCACUCCCUGGGGCGCACCGGGCAACGGGCAGCGGGCUCCAGGCCCUGCACGCCAGGCGUGCUGCAGCAGAGCACCCCAGCCCUGCACGUGCCCUGAGAGCUCCCACGGAGCAAGCUGGACGUCAGGGAACACGGGACGGGAAAGCGUUGGCUGCCGGUGUGCCUGGCCCAGCCAAGGGAAGGGAGCAGAAGGGAGCAGUGGGAUUAGUGCUGCCUGCAUGCAUGGACCACUGGACAAGUGCGGCAUCGCUGGAUGAGUGCGGCAUCGCCAGAGGAGCGCAGCAUCACUGGACAUGUGCGGCACUGCCGGGGCUUGGCCCCAUCUAGUGGCUUUGCCUGAGACCAGCCUGGAGGGCUCGCUGCAGGCCUUGCUGAGCAGCCCCAGAUCCUGGUCCCGGGGCAGAAGACCCUCAAGGGACUCGUGCACCUUCCCCAGCCAAGAAAUCCUGCAAAGGACUGUCUGAGAUGUGAGCUCCAGGCUCUGAGGGAGUUUGCAGGGCAGGAGGGAGCAUGGUGCCAGCUCCAGGGCGUGCUGGAAAGAAGCUUGUGCUCGUGGGGACCAGGCUGUCCCUGGGAGGUGGCUCUGUUGGCCAGCGUAGGAGACCAGAGGUCCCUGGCAUUGGCAGCCCUUGCCCAGUGAAGCCACCCCCUCCUACCUGACGUUGACCGAGGCGCCGAGCCGGGCGGCCUCCCUGCGCAGCCUGGCCAGCAUGGCCCCCCCCUCGCGCUGCACGCGCACCAGCUGCGGGUCGCUCAACACCCUCUGCAUCAGCUCCUGGUGCCUCUCGAUGCAUGUGGCCACAUCCUGCGGAGGGAGGGUCAGACACGCAUCUUACCUGGGGCCUCACCUGGCGGCUCCCAGGCCAGCACGGGACCGGCACCUGGGGCUGUACCCUGAGGGACGAGCAAAGGGGACAGGGGACAGCCCCACGGCCAGGAGCAGCAGGUCUGGGAGCGGUUGCACCGAGUUUUGGGGAACCUGGAUGAAAUGUCACUGAGUAGUGGACUGCAGAUGGGCUCUUUGGAAAGCCCUACAACCCGUGGUGCCACAGCCCCCGUUACCUGCGUCCCUGCCAGUGCAUCGGUGCUCCGCAGCUCCUGGAUGCAGCUCUGCAGCAGCUCUGACGCCCGCCUCAGGCUGGCUGUGAAGGGAUGGAGUUUCUGCAGGAAGCAUUGGGGUCAGCACAGGAUUUAUCGAACAGGCUGCAACCAAGCCCUGAGCAGGCAGAGGCACGGGGCACUGUGGUGGGGAGGACCCCACAGCCCCCGGGACAGCGCAGGGCACUCCUGCAGCACUGCCUCGACACCGGCACGAAAACCCGGCCAGGAUGAAUCGCCCGUCGCUGCAGAGCCAAUUUUCAGCUCUCACUGUCAGCAACUUUGGCAGGGCACGAUGCAAACGCCAACAAACAGCCCCAGCCCGGCGGAGUGGGAGGCCAGCGCUCAGCACAGCAUUGCCCGGGAACCCGGGGCAACGGCGCCAGCCAGCUGAAGUGACAAACGAGAUGGCCAGCCCAAGGAUGAUCCGCCGAGCGUCCUGUACCUGCAUGCCAGGCACGGUUCACACAGUAGCACCCACCUGCUGCACCCCAAGCCCCUGCCAAACUUUUGCAGGGAAGUUUAAGCAUCUCAGGCUGCACUCCCGCACGCGCCUGCCCGAGCGGCCGACGGCCACCUCCGCCUUCGCACCCAACGCCCGCCAUCGCUCCCGACACCCACCCCAUGCUUGGGAGAGUCGGGGGGCUGCAGGUGCGAGCGGGGGCCAGCAGUGAGCGGGGAAGGUCAGCGGAAAGGAUAGGAAAGCAGAAGGAAUUACCAUGUUUA